rnacentral:rRNA from 1 species
UACGUAGGGUGCGAGCGUUAAUCGGAAUUACUGGGCGUAAAGCGUGCGCAGGCGGUUUUGUAAGGCUGACGUGAAAUCCCCGGGCUUAACCUGGGAAUUGCGUUGGAGACUGCAAGGCUGGAGUCUGGCAGAGGGGGGUAGAAUUCCACGUGUAGCAGUGAAAUGCGUAGAGAUGUGGAGGAACACCGAUGGCGAAGGCAGCCCCCUGGGUCAAGACUGACGCUCAUGCCCGCAAGCGUGGGGAGCAAUCAGG